AUUUGGUGAUGAGAAUAACUGUCACACAACUUGUUGAAUCUCUCCUAGUACUCAUACAAAGUCUCACCAUUUUGCUAUCUUAUUCCAUAAAUCUCUUUUCUAAUUAU
rfam:Cajanus cajan CcLG07_854, whole genome shotgun sequence.